AGCAUGUGGUUUAAUUCGAUGAUACGCGAGGAACCUUACCUGGGCUCAAAUGUAUGUUGACGUAUUCUGAAAGGGAUACUUCUUCGGACAAUAUACAAGGUGCUGCAUGGUUGUCGUCAGCUCGUGCCGUGAGGUGUCGGGUUAAGUCCCAUAACGAGCGCAACCCCUAUCAUUAGUUGCCAUCAGGUCAAGCUGGGGACUCUAAUGAAACUGCCUACGCAAGUAGUGAGGAAGGUGGGGAUGACGUCAAAUCAGCACGGCCCUUACGUCCAGGGCUACACACGUGCUACAAUGGCCGGUACAAAGGGCAGCUACCUGGUGACAGGAUGCUAAUCUCAAAAGCCGGUCUCAGUUCGGAUCGGAGUCUGCAACCCGACUUCAUGAAGCUGGAAUCGCUAGUAAUCGCAGAUCAGCCAAGCUGCGGUGAAUACGUUCCCGGGCCUU
rnacentral:rRNA from 1 species